rnacentral:rRNA from 1 species
ACGUAGGGUGCAAGCGUUAAUCGGAAUUACUGGGCGUAAAGCGUGCGCAGGCGGUUAUGCAAGACAGAUGUGAAAUCCCCGGGCUCAACCUGGGAACUGCCUUUGUGACUGCAAGGCUAGAGUACGGCAGAGGGAGAUGGAAUUCCGCGUGUAGCAGUGAAAUGCGUAGAUAUGACAUAGAACACCGAUUGCGAAGGCAGCUUGCUACACGAUCAUUGACACUGAGGCACGAAAGCGUGGGGAUCAAACAGGA